rnacentral:rRNA from 1 species
UGGGGAAUAUUGCACAAUGGGGGAAACCCUGAUGCAGCGACGCCGCGUGAACGAAGAAGGUAUUCGUAUCGUAAAGUUCUGUCCUAUGGGAAGAUAAUGACAGUACCAUAGAAGAAAGCUCCGGCUAAAUACGUGCCAGCAGCCGCGGUAAUACGUAUGGAGCGAGCGUUGUCCGGAAUUAUUGGGCGUAAAGGGUACGCAGGCGGUUUAAUAAGUCGAAUGUUAAAGAUCGGGGCUCAACCCCGUAAAGCAUUGGAAACUGAUAAACUUGAGUAGUGGAGAGGAAAGUGGAAUUCCUAGUGUAGCGGUGAAAUACGUAGAUAUUAGGAGGAAUACCAGUAGCGAAGGCGACUUUCUGGACACAAACUGACGCUGAGGUACGAAAGCGUGGGGAGCAAACAGGAUUAGAUACCCCAGUAGUCCCUGAGCGGGCUGGCAAGGCGCAU